rnacentral:rRNA from 1 species
AUGAACGCUGGCGGCGUGCCUCAUACAUGCCAGUCGAGCGAACGGACGAGAAGCUUGCUUCUCUGAUGUUAGCGGCGGACGGGUGAGUAACACGUGGAUAACCUACCUAUAAGACUGGGAUAACUUCGGGAAACCGGAGCUAAUACCGGAUGAUAUUUUGAACCGCAUGGUUCAAAAGUGAAAGACGGUCUUGCUGUCACUUAUAGAUGGAUCCGCGCUGCAUUAGCUAGUUGGUAAGGUAACGGCUUACCAAGGCAACGAUGCAUAGCCGACCUGAGAGGGUGAUCGGCCACACUGGAACUGAGACACGGUCCAGACUCCUACGGGAGGCAGCAGUAGGGAAUCUUCCGCAAUGGGCGAAAGCCUGACGGAGCAACGCCGCGUGAGUGAUGAAGGUCUUCGGAUCGUAAAACUCUGUUAUUAGGGAAGAACAUAUGCGUAAGUAACUGUGCACAUCUUGACGGUACCUAAUCAGAAAGCCACGGCUAACUACGUG